AAGACUUUAAGUUAAAUUAAACUAAUAAUUUUCAAAAUUAUUUAUAAAAAAUAUUUUUUAAGUCUUA
rnacentral:tRNA from 1 species